CGGGGCGUAGCGUAGCUCGGUUAUCGCGUCUGCUUUGGGAGCAGAAGGUCGCAGGUUCGAAUCCUGCCGCCCCGACAA
rnacentral:tRNA from 1 species